AUCCAACUGACGAGUUCUAAAUAGGACGAAACGUGCAUCCUGGAU
rfam:Schistosoma mansoni strain Puerto Rico chromosome W, complete genome